rnacentral:rRNA from 1 species
AAGGUACGGGAGGCAGCAGUGGGGAAUUUUGGACAAUGGGGGCAACCCUGAUCCAGCCAUGCCGCGUGUCUGAAGAAGGCCUUCGGGUUGUAAAGGACUUUUGUUAGGGAGGAAGGCAUUUAGUUUAAUAAACUGGAUGAUUGACGUUAACUACAGAAGAAGCACCGGCUAACUCCGUGCCAGCAGCCGCGGUAAUCCUU